ACGGGUGAGUAACACGUGGGUAACCUACCCGGAGGUGGGGGAUAACUCUUCGAAAGGAGAGCUAAUACCGCAUGAUAUCUCGAAGGUUCGCCUUCGAGUUCAAGGCUAGCCUCUUCUUGAAAGCUAGCGCCACCGGAGGGGCCCGCGGCCCAUUAGCUUGUUGGUGGGGUAACGGCUCACCAAGGCGACGAUGGGUAGCCGGCCUGAGAGGGUGAACGGCCACACUGGAACUGGGACACGGUCCAG
rnacentral:rRNA from 1 species